GUCGUCUGGCUUCUCUUCAGUUAUCGAAUAAAUAUUUCGCCUUUUACUAAAGACUUUCGUGGAGAGGAGCACUCUAAUGAGUCUGAAAGCAAUUUUUUUUUUUCCAAUUUCAUGCGAA
rfam:Glossina austeni unplaced genomic scaffold Scaffold0, whole genome shotgun sequence.